GCAUAACGCGAAGAACCUUACCUACUCUUGACAUCUACGGAAGACUGCAGAGAUGCGGUUGUGCCUUCGGGAACUGUAAGACAGGUGCUGCAUGGCUGUCGUCAGCUCGUGUUGUGAAAUGUUGGGUUAAGUCCCGCAACGAGCGCAACCCUUAUCCUUUGUUGCCAGCGGUUCGGCCGGGAACUCAAAGGAGACUGCCAGUGAUAAACUGGAGGAAGGUGGGGAUGACGUCAAGUCAUCAUGGCCCUUACGAGUAGGGCUACACACGUGCUACAAUGGCGUAUACAAAGAGAAGCGACCUCGCGAGAGCAAGCGGACCUCAUAAAGUACGUCGUAGUCCGGAUUGGAGUCUGC
rnacentral:rRNA from 1 species